GAGAAGCUUGCUUCUCUGAUGUUAGCGGCGGACGGGUGAGUAACACGUGGAUAACCUACCUAUAAGACUGUGAUAACUUCGGGAAACCGGAGCUAAUACCGGAUAAUAUUUUGAACCGCAUGGUUCAAAAGUGAAAGACGGUCUUGCUGUCACUUAUAGAUGGAUCCGCGCUGCAUUAGCUAGUUGGUAAGGUAACGGCUUACCAAGGCAACGAUGCAUAGCCGACCUGAGAGGGUGAUCGGCCACACUGGAACUGAGACACGGUCCAGACUCCUACGGGAGGCAGCAGUAGGGAAUCUUCCGCAAUGGGCGAAAGCCUGACGGAGCAACGCCGCGUGAGUGAUGAAGGUCUUCGGAUCGUAAAACUCUGUUAUUAGGGAAGAACAUAUGUGUAAGUAACUGUGCACAUCUUGACGGUACCUAAUCAGAAAGCCACGGCUAACUACGUGCCAGCAGCCGCGGUAAUACGUAGGUGGCAAGCGUUAUCCGGAAUUAUUGGGCGUAAAGCGCGCGUAGGCGGUUUUUUAAGUCUGAUGUGAAAGCCCACGGCUCAACCGUGGAGGGUCAUUGGAAACUGGAAAACUUGAGUGCAGAAGAGGAAAGUGGAAUUCCAUGUGUAGCGGUGAAAUGCGCAGAGAUAUGGAGGAACACCAGUGGCGAAGGCGACUUUCUGGUCUGUAACUGACGCUGAUGUGCGAAAGCGUGGGGAUCAAACAGGAUUAGA
rnacentral:rRNA from 1 species